rnacentral:lncRNA from 1 species
UUUUUUUUUUUUUUUUUGGUGUUUUACAACAAUUUUUUUAAUGGUUUUGGUUGUGAUUAGCCGCUAGCCAGGAUAAUUACCCCGAGCUUAGCACAAUUGUGUGAGUUUUGGCCUUCAUUUGGAGAUAAAAUUCCCAGCACUAGUUUAAAUCAUCAAAGAGAUUAGGAAAUAGAAACUAUGAGUAUGGCUAUUUUGUUCAAGUGGAAGUUGGGAUAAAUGGUCCUUUUCAAUUUAGGUUCUAGAACACAAGAAGAAAUCUGUGGCUAGUACAGGGUAAUUACGGUUUGCUUUGGAGCAUAUCAGCAGAUGAGCUAUUGUUUAUACUUGACUAAUGGUCAUUAGGAUGCAAAAGCCUAAACCAUUUCUUGUUUUGAGUUUUGACUGGUAGAUUUUGCUAUUGUGACCCAGAUAAACCAACUUAAUUCAACGCAACUUAAUCAAUACUUAUAUAAAUAAAAAUUGUGAGUCAAUUGAUGCUUUCGAAUUUAUUUGCAUUAGAAUUUAGAAAUUGGCCUAGGUCUCCUUGAUCGCAUGCUUCGUCCCUUAGGAACUGACGUAAGUGUCAAGUUUGGACCACUACUAAUAUGCCAGGUAUUUCUAGAGAAUAGAGAGAGUUAAUUCUAAUCUGAUUAGAAGAAAUGUGGCAAAAAAAGAAACAAAAAAAAAAAAAAAACCAACGAAUUGAAGGAAGACAUAAAUUCCAAAUGUUUGGAUAGGAGAUUAUUUGGGAUAAAUUUUUAAAGAAUAUGCUGUGACAUUUUUUUGACAUGAUAUACAGUGAGAUAAAAAGAUGAUUAAAAAAUCAGUUGAUGACACAAAUAAAUCAAUGGAUGUAAAUAAGGUGCAAUCAAAACCAUUUAUUAGAUAUUGGAUCAUUUAAUCCAUGAUGAUCUAUUUACAUAAAACCAAUUAUCAUCCAUAUAUCAGUCUCUAAGCAAAGGCAGGAAAAAUGAAGACAUAAAGCAACCAAGACCAAGAGGGCUACAAAUGCUGGACUCAUUCUCUAAUAAUAAGUACUACUACAAACUGAAUGGUACUGAAUACCAUGGAGAUGUUUAAGCAGUUAAGAAUUACGUAUUUUUUAAUACCUAAUAACAACUAUACCAAGCGCCUUUUUGUUGCAUCCAAAAAAUUGGUAAAGUUAUUGUGGCCUGUAAAUGCACUAACAGUUUGGGCCCAAAGCAAAGCCUGCAGAUCUAGACGGUUGCUGCCUUGUUUAUUUCAAUCCAGUUUGGAUAUCUUCCAUCGAUUUGUACUUGUUGGGCUUCGAAAUCUUUUCCAAUCGAUUCUGGAUUUAUUAGUUCCUUUAAUAAAUAUGGCGGGUUGUUAUCGGGGACUAACAAAUAGUAGCAGUAGAUAACUUUAUGGAUUAAUUAAUAAUUGAGCUCACCCACCAUAAUAAAGUCUUUGGAUAUCAAAUCAGGCACAAGGAGCUUUUCACCAAAAUGUUCAAAUACAUACCUGACCUCACUUGAUUUUGUCUGCCUCAGGAGUUAGCCUAAACUUGACUUCAACAAUAAAAGCUUAUUAUUAUAUUCGGUGAAUUAUUAAAGAUUUGACUCAUCCAUCCAAAUUCCACCUUCCAUUCGCUUGCAAAUUGCAAUGCAACCUUUUUAUACGAUGAUAAACUAGUCUAAACCCUAUACAUGACAAACCAAUUUUCAGGAAAACCACUAAAAAGAAAGGUCCAAUCAUUUUGCCUAUUUUGACCCUUUCACUUCUCAUCCCACUCCUCUCUUUUCUAUAUUUUCCAAUGGAAUGGUAAGACAACCGUUUGCUUAUUAUAUGCAUGAAAUGAAUUGGCAAAGACAAGCCCAUCCUGAGGUGCUGCUGUGUUCGAUUCGCCCCUCCUACCGUCUUGUAUAUCUUGGAAGCAGGGUGCACAGGUACAAAAAGAGAUUAAUUGAUAAAAAAAUCGAGAUAUUUUCUGUAUCAAAAAAAAAAAUUUGACAAAGACAAAAGCUAUGAUAAACUAAUCUAAACUCUAUCAUUUUGCGCAUUGUACAUGAUCUUCAAGGAAUUUGUUACUACUUUUAAAAUACUACUAGAUAGACUAGUAGGUCACUAGAACUGGAGUAAGAUCUUUACAUAAAUGUCAAAAAAAAUUGCAUUGGAAAUUUGGAAGAAAUACUAACGUACUAACCAACCGUGGCGUAGGCGUAGAGGAAAAAUCUUUCAAUGCCACACGUUUAUUCAAGAAAAAAAAAAAGAAUCAAGGGUUAUGUUACCUGAGUAAAGCGCGGACCUAUGUGGGCGCCCCUUGAAAAUUCACCCCAAAAAAAAAAAAAAAGACAAAAUAAAUACUUACUAUUCCCUUCCCUUCCCUCCUCCCAUUGCCCCGGAAAAUCUUCGCUGCCCAAAAUCCCUAACCCUAGCUGAAAAUUUACUCCCGCUUCUCAAACCCUCAUUCAAUUUCCCGAUGGAAAUCUCUGUCAUCUCCGAUGCAUUAACGUCAGUGGCCUCAACCCAAGGUUUAAGCUUAGGGGUUUCAAAGCUCAACUUCUGUUCAAAUCAGUCUUCUGAACAAUCCGCCGGAAUUCUUCAAAUCUCCGCCAUGAUUUUUCCUCUCGAUGCUGUUGCACCACCGCCGGUGAAGUCGAAUCGGACAAGAACUUUACCGCGUAGACUGAUCAAGAAAAGGCGUCGUACCAGAAGAAGAUCUUCAACCGGUGAUGAUGAUAAUGAUGAUCCGGAAGAAGUUUUCGGGUUUUUUGGCGGCGACGGAGGAGUUUUUGAUGGGCCGUUUAAUAAUGGUGGCGGCGGCGGCGGUAGUUGGAAUUUUGGUGGGUUUGGAGGGGCAAAUUGGGAAGGGUACUCAUCCAACUCGUAUAAUGAUCCAGCGUUCGAUUUUGUUUACGAGGUGUUGUCGUGGAUUGUUUUAUCGAAUUGUUUGCAUUUUGCGUUUAAGAAGGUUGUGAGGAUUGUGGCUGAUGUAUUUGGUGAUCCUGCUAGGGAGAAGGUCCCGAUGAGAUUGGAACCUGUUUGCUGAAUUGGUAAAAGAAAUUGACUCCCCGAUGCAAAGAUAAACUCUUUACUCUGAUACACAUAAUUUAGGAUUUGAUUAUAUGUUCUUCGGGAAAAAAAUUAUGUAAAUAAGUGGACAGUACAUUUAGGACUAUGCUUCUUAAGUUCGCCAUUGCAUUUACCUUUUUAUUGUUUAUCAGCGUAAAUAAUGUAAAUAUUCAUCGAUGGAUGUCUGGCUGAUUUUCAAUUUGCUUUACUCUAUAUGAUUCUUCUAUCCACGGACUGAUAUAGUUGCGUUGCAUGGAUUGCGUGUUUGUGAUACUUCUGUUAUACGUUCUGUGAUGAUUGUUGUGGAGAUGUGUUCCCCUUCCAUCAUACAAGUCUGUGAGCAAAGAUUUGAGUUGUCUUGACAAAUAAAUAAAAGUGUAAGCUGGAGAUUUUUUAUGCUACUUGACUUGCAAUGCUGGAUAUGGUAAGGGUAGCACAAUCAAUUACUCCUAAAAAUUUUUUUGCUCUUGCAUUUUAAAGAUUUGCUUGGCCUUAAAGAUGUAUCUUUUUCUUUGUGAUUCUUGAUUAUCGUAGACUUCACAUCUCCCCUUCAAAAAUGAUUUCCCUCCCUAUAUCCCUGCCUUUCAAUGUGGUCUACGUUGUGUAUUCUGGGCCUGUUGAAUGGCAAGAUCGAGUCUUUGAGCAUGGUAUGUUGCUGUAUUGUUGUUUGGGAGUUCAUAGGAUAGUUAUUACUUCCAUGUGUGCGUGUCUGAAGCCUGUGAUCACCUGUUUCAUUUCUGGUUUACCAACUACAAAUAUUGUAACUAAUGAGAGCCAAAGAGGCCGUAUUUCUUUCUGGUUUGAGGGCCAGAAAUGUUGUAACUAGUAAGAUCCAAAAGGAGCAUUUGGUGGUUUUAUCUUCUUCAGAAGUAAGAAACCAGUAAUUAGGUUGGCCCCUUUGGGUAGUCAAAUCUCCUAUUACUGCCAGAAAUUACGAACUUUCUUUUGAUGUCCCUGCCCUUAACUUAUUAUGUUUAAGAUCUUACGACAAUGAAGUUAGUGAAUAUCGAUCAUAUGCCUUGUGAAGUGCUAUAUUUACAUUUUCUUGCAAAGGAACAUCCAAUGGUCUCUCUUUUACUGACUUAGAGGCCUUGAAUACCAUAAUAAUUGGGAUUUGCCUAGGGCAAAUUUCAGAUUCCUUAUUUUAUUUGAAGUCAGGCUGAUUGAUCGAAGCAUGAGUGCCUUUCUUUUGGGGGUUUUGUUCACGGCCUCUGAACCAAUUUAGUAUGAUUGCAAUUUUUUUUUUCUUCUUUUGGUGCUUGUCCUUGCAUUGACUGUUGAGUCAACUGGCUACCUCCUCGUGUAAUUUCUCUAGCACAAUCGCUGUUGCAAUUUUUUGUAGUUUCUUUAGUAUUUUACUAUUAAAAUGAAGACUAACAGAAGGUUCGGAGGCAUGUGCCUGAAAGACUGUUUGUUCCCCAGCAGGUUGGUUGGUAAAUUCUUGACAUGCUGUAAGGUUAAACCAAUCUACGGUGGAUGCAGCAUGCAAUGGACCUAACUUAUCCAUGACUUCAUACCACACUUUUCUACUUUCUACGCCAUUUAUCUUUUACGAUGGGGGAACUAGGUAGCAAACUGUCAAGGAACAUAGAUGGCAGUUUGAAAAAGCCCCACGCAUAUGUCCCAUUUAGAUUUGAAGUGACACAAUCAGCACUUGGUUCAUGCAUCUUCUUAGUCACUUUCGAUCGACUAACUAUUCCUAGUAAAAUCACAAUUACACAUAAAACACUGGAUAAAUUAUUUUAGUACCCCGAGUCUCUAUCUGCCGACGUACGGCUGUCUGUCUGGUCUGUGGUUUAUUCCUUUCUCUUCUUCUUGGAUAUGGAUCUUUCUCACUACUUUGUGUCUCUUCUAUCUCCUGUUCCAGUAAUAUUCGAUUUUGAACUGCUAGAUGUGGCAGUAAACAUCAUGGCAUUGUUCAUCUGUUUCGUAGAAAAGGGGAAAAGAUGUUACCGGAAAUGUGCAGAAAAUUUCAAAGAGUGCCCAAAUAGUUGUUGGUCCCAUUCAGCGUUUACUCCUCCUUUCCGGAGCAUUUUCCUGGGUAACUUCCUAAGUACCUUGUAGGUGAUACGGCUGCUUUGUACAUAACAGCUCUUCCCUCUAAUACCCGAACAUAAAAGUCCUGUGCCAAAAUAAACAGGCAUAGGAUGGACUCUGAGAACGAGAUGAAUGCUGGAAUUAUGUACGAAGCUUCUUCUUCAAAUUGCGUUGGAUAGAAUUUCAAGAAUGCGGGUGAUUAUCCAGCUGAAAACAAACUCUAUCGUACUUUAAUUUGAUCGCCGAAGUAUUUUGCGAUUUUUUUCUGUUAAAAUCAGUAGUAAAUUGCACUAACUUGUGUGAUAUAAACUGAAAAGUCAAAUUCCAAAAAGUUUAAGGACAUUUUUUUCCCCAGCACACCACCCUAGGUAACUUGCCAAACAAUUUAUCUUUUUACCAGAAAAGACCAUUCCAAACUGGUAUCAAGCACCUUUUGUUUUCGAAACAAACGAGUAAACAUGAAAAUCCAUUCGGGACUCCUGUCAAAUUAGCGAUCGAUGCACGCUUGAUGCGUGUGUAAUGAAUGUAGAAUCCUUCGUUUGAGAUAACGAAUGUAGAAUCCUUCGUUUGACAACAAAAUUUAAAAGUAGUAAAUUUAAAAAGUUAUUGCAACAAAAUAUGAUAACAAUCAAACAAAAAAAUUAAAAGAAGCAAUCACACGCAGUGAUUGACUAAUGAAUCUUUUAAGAAGUGGAAAAUUUUGUUCUAAAUGUACUCUCAUAUUGAGAUGGAACUCCACAAUCAUCUAGAGGAUAUUGUAUUCAACAAUUGAAAAGCAUCAAAAUCUUAUGGCAAGAGAUAGAAAAAAAGAAGAAGAAGUUUCGCACAAAGGAGAUGUAAAAGAAGUUAUUUAUGUGAUUUUGAUUUGUAGUUAGGUGGUGGGGGUAUUUCAUUGUGUGAUGUUAGUGGUUAGUUAGAGUGGGAUUAGUGAUGAGUAGCUAUUUUCUUGAUAAAGGUAAUAUGUACAUGUAUAAGAGAGAGGAGAGUUGAGUUGAAUGAUAAAGAAGGAGAGAUUUUUAGUAAGAGAUUCUGAAUCCAAAAUCUCCUACUUAAAAAAAAUAAAAAAGAGAAUAUAUACACGUCACAAAAGACUAAUCUAAUUUUCAAAUGGUUCAAAUCAACUUUGCAUUUCAAUGUAGGCUCCGUAUGUCUUGACUUGGAGGUGGUUCAGUAUUUUCCGAGUCUCCAGUAACAACGAAGUCGGGUCUAUCUUUUCUUCGUAGUAGUAUAGGAGUAGUCGUAAGCAAAUAUCUAUUAUGUUUGUCAAAAAAAGAAAAAAAAACAGAGAAAACACCUGUGUGUGCAACGUUUUCCCGUCAUAGAAUGUAGAAUAGUCAAUAAUGUUUCAAAUGCGCGGACUACCGAAUCCAGCCACAGUAAAAGUUGGUGUGCACUAUACAGUUGACCCCUUAAUUAUUGAGGUCUGAAUCCUUCUCUCUACCACUACCAGAAGAAAGGGUUCACGAGAUUGAGGUGCGAUUUUUCAUAUAUAUAUAUAGGUUGGAAUUCAAGACAAUCUAAGAUUUGACGUUUCUUGGGUGUUUUUUGUACUCUUGUCACCGUAGCAUUUGCGAAAUUUGGUUGAAGAUUUGAAAACGUGCAGGCUGCAGCUUAGAAAGGAGACAUUUUGGCGAUUAUCCGACGUGAAAAAACAGUGCGGACAAAAAAUACUUUGAUACGUUCGGUGCUCUUUUCAGCGUUUCCCCUUGACAAAUGACUGACUUAUUUUGUAUGUAAAAGGGGUUCCAGUCUUACAAUCUUAAAGGGGAUUCCAAUCACCAUAUGUAAGGAUUAUUUCCUUUCUUUAUACAGUCAUCACUGCACUAAUACUGGAGGUGGCAAAAUGGGCGGGAUGGGCGGGAUUUGCUUGGGUUUGAGAUGGAACCGAGUCAUAUGGGUUUGGGUCCAACCUUACCCAUAUGUGUUUUGGGACUAACUUGGGCGGGAUCAUUUUGGGAUGGGUUUAGAUUGUAUAUAAUUUUAAUAUUUUUGAUUUAUUAAAUUUCUUUUAGUUUUAUUAAAUAAACAUGCAAGUGCUUUAUACUCAAGAUUCCCACCAAAAAUUGGAUUAACAAAUAAAGGAAAAGAUAGAUAUACAGCCAUAUUCCAACAUAUAUCAAGAUGGCCAAGGUCCUUAGGAUGUUGAAUAUUUAUCCUCAUCAUUGUCCAAGGAUGACAGGUCUAAACUAACUGAAAUGCUGGAAAUUCUUGUGGAUAAUGACUAGGAAGACUACUAGAUUAUAUUCGCUGGUAUGACUAUAAAAAUUGUUAAAGAUAAUUUUUGAAUCUAAGACUCCGUUUGGAUUGACUAUUUUUUCAAAAAAUAAGUUUUUCAAAUACAAUGUUACAGUAAUAUACAAUAACUCAAGAAACAUCCCAUCCAUAUUAGUAUAUCAAAUAUUUCAAAAAAAUUUUAUAGUAAAAAUUUUUCAUAUACACGGCUACAAUAAAAUAUUUCAAAAACACCUACCAAAAAUAGCUAAUCCAAACGGAGCCCUUGCCAUUUGAGCCCAAUGGGUACCCAAGUAUUUCCCAUCCUUUCCCAUUCAUUAAUGGGUAUAGUUGGGAUGUGUCCCAACUUAAACCCAAUACCAAAUUAUAAUACCCAUCCCGCCCAAAGUUCCUUUGGGCAUGGGUAGCCCAUUGGGACUUGGGACAAAUUGCCAGCCUCUCAACUAAUACGUACUGACUUGGAGUACAUGGUGUAUUACGCAAGUCAAUUGUAAGCAAACAUUAUCUUAUUUAGUUAAGAAAUGGGUGAUUCAAGGAAAACAAUUAUACUACUAAUACGUUGUUAACUCCUAAAUAAUCUGGCCCACGCUCAACCAAGCCCCACAAGUAGCGGGAUGUAUUAAUUGUCAGUAAACGGGUUGAUGUUUAAAAGCCGGAAAUUCUCUCCGUCAAAUAGCUGACCUCAUCAUCCUCUGUGCCCCCCCCACUGGCACAGUGCUUAAUUACGAAAAGGUGUCUUGAUUGGAUGAAUGGAACAGCAUCAUUACCAAUCAGACAUUAUUAAUUAGCCAAAUGCAGAAUACGACACAAAUUUUUUGCAAUGAAGUAUUUCUUCUAAUCAUACCGUGAUAGUAACGUAGUAAUACUACCCUUGCUGGCUAAUUAAUUGAUGCCAAAGCAUUAUUAUUAUUAUUAUUAUUAUAGUGUACCAUGAUAUUGACACCAUCCACAGAAUGCAGUAAAAAUUAUCCCACAUCAGGCAGUAAAAGUCUGAAAGUACACGCAAAAGACAAAACAGGAGAGAAAAACACGCAGUUUCUAAUCUAGAUAGUCUAUGGUAAAAUUUCACUUAAUACAGCAGAUUAUUAGGCUGCUGGGCUGUAGCAACAAGAUCGUCCAUCAUCCAGAGAUCAACCGGGUCCGAUUCAGUGAUCCCACCAAACUGAGAUGUUGCUGUGGUGGUCGUCUCAGGUUCUAAGCCCAGGAAAGAUUCCAAGCUGGAAAAUUGAUCCCCAUACUGAUAAUCUUGAUCAGUCACUUGGGACGGAUAGUAAGGCUGGGGUUGGAAGCCAGGGUCCACUACUGGCGGGGUUGGUCCAAUUGACUCCAAGAUCUCCUGAUCAGGCUGAGGAUAAUAAGCCGGCGGUGGCUCAGGGGUGACACAACGCCGCUUGGCCAGUGGCUGCCGAGGUGGUGUCGGCUGUGAUGGGGUGGUUGGUGGCGGCUGAUCAUCAGCAACAAAGUUGAGUUUAGCCUUGUCGCCCCGGAUGCGCUUGGCUGCCUUGUCAUAAGCCCUGGCUGCUUCUUCAGCUGUGUUGAAUGUGCCGAGCCAAACUCUAACGCCCUUUUGUGGAUCGCGAAUCUCAGCUGCCCAUUUUCCCCAUGGCCUCUGUCUGAUCCCUCUGUACUUGUUCUUCCUAGGCUUCUGACUGAUCUUCUCAGACUUCUGAUUACCUGCUCCUACACUUCCAAAAAAAUCACUUCUUCUUGCUAAUACUACAUCAAUAAUCAUUCAAGUUCAACAAAUUCUUUCAAGUUGUUGUGUUGUAGCAUGAAAAAUUGAUCUACUAUGUACACGUACAUAUGUCAAUCUCAGAAUUACCUAUGCAUAAUACAUACAUGCAGCUACACCGUAUCAAAAUAUAUAGGUGGAUAUAAUAUAGUAAUACUUUGUACGUAUGGAUUUGUGAAAACCCUGAUGGAGUUGUUACGGUAAAGAAAUACUUAUUAGUAAAUAUGUUUAGAGCCAUCCUAAAUAGUAAAUACGCAGUCCCUAAGAAAGUAGAUAAUAAUAUAAUUGGAAACUAAAAGCCUAUUAUAUGUAAGCUUGCUGAAGUAUGCAUACAUACAUAUCAAAAUAUAGGAGCGUCCAAGUAUGCAGUAGAUGUAUUUACAUGUACGUAUGAAUCAUCAACAUAAAUCAUUUUCUGAGCGCGCAAUUAAUUAGGUCGUCAUACAACUAUUAUACUUUAUUAUUGGAGUAUUAUUAUUAUUUUUUUGGUAAUUUAUCCAAAAAUGGCAAAAAAGUACAUAAAGGUAGCAAGUGGUAGUAAUAAACCAAGAUGAAUGAUAGUAUCAGCAGAAAAUUCAAAGAUAUGUAAGCUAGUGGCAGUAGAUUGUGUUCAGGUAAUGGGGGGUGAGUGGACCGACCUUUCUUUGGGUGCUUGUUCUUGUCAGUGGCCUUGGUAUCUGCAGCCUGGCCAGAAGGGUCGAAGCCCCAGAAGGGAGAGAUGGUGUCAAACUCAGCCCACAGUUCUUUUGGGGUUAACUUCCGGCCGGGGUUGAUCGGAGACCCCCCGGAAAUGAUUGCACCUCCACACAUCUUUCUUUUUUUUUGUUGGUUGUUCUUGUUGUCUGGCAGAAGAAGAUGGUAGGAAAAAAGUUUUCAGAGAAAACUGAAGAGGAGGAGGAAAUGAAAUGAAAAAGGAGGAAUAAAUAGAGCAGAGAGAGAGAGAGAGAGAGAGAAGGAGAAGCGUUACGUAUUGAGGGUCUUAGUGUUGUGUUUUGUUACGUGAUUUUACGAAAGAGGGGACGGUUACGAAUCAAUAAUCAAAGGGAAAAUGACAAGUGAGGAGAGCUGAACCCAGACUUUGUUUUUAUUCGGAUUGUAUAUUUUAUUUAUAUACAUAUAUGGGAUCAAACGGUGGAGAGAGGGCCCAUCCAUUUGAUGUUGAUGAUGUGAUGUAACGUAACGGGGAAAUUUUCUUUUAUUUUUUUUUGUGGGUCCAGAUGAGAUGAGAUGUGUGAUGAAAUUAUGCACAUCAAAUCAGUAUUGAGAUUUUUGCAAGUUGGCAAGGAAAUUUGGGUAAAUUUGAGCUACCGUAUUUCGGUGCUCAAAACUCUGAUUUUCAUUCCGCUUACUUUAUUUUAAAUCUUGUUUAUAACUCUAAUUGAGUUCCAAAUUUCAAAGGCUGGUUCGCAAUGGGUGCGGUUUCUGCAAUUGGGCUAUUUUAAAAGAUAUACUGACAAAAUAAAUAAAUGUAAAUAUUAAUGCAUUAUAGCAUGUAAAAAAAAAAACAACAACUUUAGAAUUAUUUUGUUACAAUUAAUUUCAUCUUUCAAAUUUAUAUUGAGCACAUCUGGGUUAUUUUUUUUUUCAGACAAAAAACACAUCUGGAUUAUUAAUUGCAAUUGCUUUGCCUAUCGCAUAGAACCCAUCCUUGCAAGAGGGUGUGGGAUGUUGGUCCCAACCCUCCUUCCCGAUUUGGAUACGUCAAAUUAUGAGAGGUCUUUUUUAACAAUAAAAUUAGGAGAUUUUUUUCUGAAAUAAUAAAAAUGUGAUAUUAAAUGAGUUGAUUCCUGGUACAUAGUACUAAUACUAGUUUAUUUUCUUUGGAUUUUAGACCAUAUGAAAGAAAGCAUUGCCACUAUAAUAUAAAUAAUAAUCACAUCAGAAAAUUCUGCCCCCCAAAAAAAGGCAUUAAAAGAAAGAUGACAAUCGAAGAUUAUAUCCCAAAAAAGGAAAAAAAAAAAGAGAGUAAAGAUACACUAUUACUGUCUCAGAAAGAACCAAUAAUGUCGACAUAGUGGCACCAACCUAAAAGCCACACGCAGUCGAAGGCCCCAAAAAACUUGCUUUUGGGCUGACCCAUCUCGUUUUCCACAAAUAUUUUCUUGACACAUUUCUUAAUUACUUCACAUGCAUCACGGUAUAUUUUUUUUCCUCAAAAAACUUACAAUCCAAACGGGUUAUCAUCUAAUAAGCAUUAAUUAAAGUUUAAAUGGAUUUAGGAGACAAAUAAUGAAGUAUAUUAUGAUUUGUCCAUCAAUAAUUCCGUUUCUUUCUUGUCAAAAAAAAAUAAAAAUGCAUUAGUAGAACUCAGAAAACAGAUCAACAAGGCGCAUUUCUCUUAUCCCACCAAGGGCAAGGGCUAGUUUACUUCGGGAAAUAUAAUAAUAUGACAUCAACUGCAUGUAGCAGUGCCGCAAAAGGGCAAACUUCACGAGGCACAGCGCAUCAGACUAAAUGGCUUUUAGGGAGCGGGGGUUAGACUGCUGAGACUUGUCUCGAACAGAAAGAAACGCUUCUUUUGUUAUUGCCUCCCAACAUUUUCUAUGCCUUCUUCUGAAGAAACAGCCCAAAAGUUCCACAUCAUCCGUGGGAAACCGUUCCUUAAGAGGAGGCCAAGGUUAUGUCAUUCACAACCCUACAAGCUUCCAAUGCAAUAAUCUUCCCAAACAAAACAUAUGAUAUGAUAAUACCCAACAACUAUCACUCCAAUAAUUUCGUUGAUCUCUGAUUGCAUCUGGGGUCUGGCAAACUUAGCAUAAGCAGAAGACAAGAAUACGUUGUCGUGCCAUGCUCCAUAGGCAAAGCCCUGGGAGUUUUGAGGGGAAACUUAAGACCUGAUCCCUUGCUCACAAGUCACAAUAACACAACACUGUGAGGAUCUUAUACCAUCAAUUUACUCGGUCACCGUGGAAUUUAGUACUCACCCUUUCGUAUAAAACCUACAUGAAGAUAUCAAUGAAUGUAUAGCAUAAAUUUUCCAUGAAACAAUAUAAUAUUUUGUUCCUCAUUCAUCAUCUCAGCCUCAAUCUAAUGAAACAUGUGUGUUAUACAUGACUAUAAAAUAUCACCUAUAAUGGGUGUAGACCCAAUCAACCAAACAAAAGCAAUCUUUUAGCAGACUAACAUAUAUAAUCUCUCCAACAAAUCGCAUUAAGUGGGAAAUUAUCAAAUGUAAAGCGCAGUUGUACACCAAAGGCCACAGAGACAACAUCUGCAAGCUCGUCUAGUCAGCCAUUUUGGUUAACCGAUGAAUGGUACUUCUUGCAACCCUAUUACCAGGAUCAAUUCUCAUAACACUUCUGAGGUCUUCAGCUCCAAGCUUGUACUUCUCCAUACUCUCGUACAAAAGAGCACGUUGCACCAAGAUGUUCACAUUUUUGUCAUCUUGUUCUAGCGCCUGCACAAUCCAAUGGCCAAAAAGUCUCUUACUUGGAGUGAACCGCAAAAACUCCUCAGCACGAUAUUAAAAGAUCAAACAAGAACCAGCAUAUUUAUUCACCAGCCCCAAUUAAUAUUCAAAAAAAAAAAAACGAAAAAGAACAAACAGAAAGAUGCAUCAGUGUCCCGUGGAUUUUCAUUACCUUCCUGCAGAUGCUCCCAGAAAACACCACCUACAUUUUUGUCAGCAUAAACCAGGGGAAGAAGGAAUAGUAUCUUAAAUUACAGGUUUUCUCUAAGUGGCUAUGCCAACUGCAUACUAUUUCCAUAAACUGCAAAUACAGAUCUCGUGAAGGGACAUCAACUUAUACAGGAAGCACAAAGUGUAGAAAGAAAGGUUCAACAAAACUUUGACCUGGUCUGAAGCCUAUACCUAAGUAGCUUGCUCGUACAUCCCCUCCCCCCGCCCCCAAAAAAACCAAAGAAAAAAAACCCCGAAAAUCCCCAACAAAAGGUAUCAUGCAUAGAUGUAAACAGAAUGGAUCCACGCGGCUAGUUAGGCAAGGUGAUCUCAAUAGCAACAAUAAUAAUUAAUAAAUACAAAGGAAAGGGGCCUUAAAUAGUUUCCAUUUCAAUAAUGUGAGACACAAGGGUGUUAUAAUAGCAGUAUCGUUUUCCAAAGGCUCUCAAUGCCCCGUUCAAGCCCUUGACCAACCUCUAAACUGUUCACUAAAAGGUCUUGACUGUAGUUUGAUCCAUGCUGAUCAAGUAUGAAACUUUAAAUUUAGUCAUGGAAAGACCGACUAAAACUUCCUAGAAAAAUACCUGACAAGUCUCUUUAUAAAACAGUUUUCAUACUGUAGCAACUUGGGACUAAAUAUACAAUUCUUGAUCCAAUUAACUAGUCCUCCAAUAUAUCGGGGAGCUAGUCUAUGAAAGAGGGAUGGUUCAACUCUAACUUGCACAAGUAGUUUCUUUAGCAGUUGAAGUGCCAUGCCAACAUUUAAGUAUGUCACAGAAACAAGAGCUGCUACCCCUAUACUCACAUAAAAUAAAAAUUCUUGAAGUUAUCUGCCAGAUAAAACGCAAAAUUCACCAGUUACUUGACGAAGUUCAGUGCUCAGACUAGCUAUAUUUUGGGAAGGUGCAAUUACAGGGCUAGUUAUUUUGGCACAGCAAUUCAACCUGGAAAAGCACCGAAAAUCAUGAAAAAAUGAUUUUGAAGAAAAAUAAUAUACCUUUGUGCAAUCAGCUACAGCUUUCUUAUAUUCACCAACUUCUUUGUAACAUGCAGCUCUGCAUGUCAAGACGUCCAUGAUGCCAGUAUCAUCUCCAGCUUUCUCCAAAAGAACGACGGUCCAAGACAACCAUUUUAUGGCGUCAGCAAACUGGCCCUGCUUGUAAUUGUCUAAUCCCUUAUUUUUCGCAGUUGAAGCACUAACACCAGCAGGUGGGGGUGGAAGUCCUUCAAGUUCGGUUGUCCCACCUGUGUCAUGGCCAUUGAAGUCCGAUUCGAAUCCCCAGUCAUCGCGCCCAGAAGAAUCCUGGCUUUUAAAUUCAGCACCGCUGCCUGGAGUUGUCGUAAACAAUGCAUCAAAACUAUCAACACCAGUGGACUGACCAGAUGGUCGACUAUGAGGCUGACUACUAGGGAACCCAAAAUCAUCAAUAUUCGAAAAAGAACCUCCUGCACCUGGCCCAGCAGUAUUAUGGUUCCCCGAAGGAAAACUACUUGGCUGACUCUGGGACGGAGUACUAAAGAACCCAAAAUCGUCAACAUUUGAAUAAGAACCUCCUGCACCUGAUCCUGUCGAGUUGCUUUUUCCUGAGGUAAAACUACCUGAAGGAUGUGCAACUCCACUUGUUUUUGAAGCACUCUGAAAACUUUGAAAUGCAUCAUCUCCAACUUUACUACUAGCACUUCCUUUACUCUCUGACUUCAUAUUACCACUCGGUUUAGACGAAAAAUCAACUAAGGAACCAAACGGGUCCUUAUUUGAACCCAUCCCACCCAAUCCUCCACCUCCAGCCAUACUCUUCACAGAAGGACCACCAAGAUUUGUUCCUUUACUAGCAUUCCCAUUCAAGUUAACAUUCCCUCUAUCACUGUUGUUACUGCUAAAUCCACUCGUAUAAGUCCCGAAAGUUUCACUAGACCCCCAAUUUCCGCUACUUUUUGUUGAAUUACCCGUUUUGGGCAAUGAAUCCGCCAUACCCCCCAUUGAAAAUGAGCUCUUAUUCGACGCCGGAGCUGCAUUUUUCAAAGGCACAUUACUAUUGCCCUUGUUCUGACCCAAUGCCGAGCCAAGCAAAUCACCAAACAAGUUGGGAUCUUUGUUAACAACUCCACUCCCAGAAUUCAAACUGCUAGCUGGGGCAGAUGAACCCCAACUCUUCCCAAAAAUAUCCCCCACCAUCGAAGUGGGACCCGAUAGAGAUCCUGUCCCAGCUGAUUGAGCCGGAGCAGCUGGUUGGUGGGUCCAUGAGGGUUUGUUAAUAGGCUGGUGAGUCCAGGACGGCGUCGUACUGGGCUUUGCCUGAGCCGAUGAAUAUGAACCAUAUGAAGAAGUCUGGUUCUUUUGAUCGUUAAGAGAUCGAGAACCCGACUUUCCAAGACCCAAAUCGAAGUCGAAACUAUUUAAGGAUCCCGAUUUGCUAUUGGAUUUUCCGUAGUUUGAAUUCAUUUUCCUCCUCUAGAUGUGAAUUAUGUUUAGGAAGUUUGGGCUAAUCAAAUUAAAGCCAGAUAAAAAAUCGAAAACUAAACGUAGAUGAUCCGAAAAUAUAGAUCAAACAACGAACUACUAAAAGAAAGAAAGAAAGAAGGGAUCUCGGAUGGGUUCAGUAUAUACCUGAUGGAGUUAAAAUUGGAAUUUGCAGAGAGGUUAAAGAAAAGCUUGGACCGCGUAAGGCUGAAAGGAGCUCAGAGCCACCGCUGGAGAGAAACCAAGUCGGGGGGAAUAAGAAAUGCGACGGGACCGCGAGUUGGAGCAGGAGCUGGCUAAUUAUUUGUCAUGUUUGAUCCGGUUUACCAAUUUAGCGACUGAGGCAAAUUUUUUAAAAUUUGCAAAUCCCCCCAAUGAGUUACUCCUGUAUGUUAUAGGAGUACAUCUACGCAACUUGAACAUAAAUGACAAUUUCCGUUAAUGUUUAGUAAAUAUCUGCAUGGAAUUAUUUUUGAGAUCUUGAACAAUUUAAAUAAUGAUUCCCAUUACACACGAAAGUCAUAAAGUGAUGUGUUUAAAGAUUAAAUCCAUCAAUUUAUUUGUAGGUUGACCAUGCUCAAGUUCCAUUUAUGUCAGAUGAAUCUUAAGAGUGUGUUUGAAUAACAAAUCAUUUGGGAUAAUUUUUUUUAAACUAUUGUAGCGCUUUUUCUUGUAAUGUAUGUAAGAUAAAAUGGUAAUUGAAAAAUGUGUUGAUGAUAGAAACAAAUAAAAUUUGAUGAAUAAUCACUAUCCAAACAAAUAAAAUUGUAGGGUUUUACCAUGAAAUGUUUUUCAAUAUUAGGCUUCUUUAUUGUUUCGUUAGGUGAUUGACUAAUUACUUUUUUUUUCUCUUUUUUUUUUUUGAAGCAAAAUAGGAGCACCUGAAAUACCCAUCAUUUACAAGAAAGAUGUAGGUACGCUUCUCAAAUUUAGAUGGAAUUUUAGAGCAGUCUGUUUAAGCUUUUAGGAAGAUUGAUAUAUUGACUAACUGCAGCGAAAUGAGGGUUCACUAUCAUUUUUCACAUGAAAUUGGCAAUUAAUCUCACCUCCAACUAAAUGAAAUACACUUCUUUUGUUGCUUUUACGUUGAUAUUAUCCUCUAUUACCAAAAUUAUACACUUCUUUUUUUGGUACAAACGAAAAUAUACACUUAUUUUGAGGUUUUUAAAAGCAUUGGCAUUGAAUAGCCAAGAUAUUUCUGAAUAGUCACAAAAAGAAUAGUCACAAAAAUUAUCCACUUCUUUUUCUGGUACAAACGAAAAUAUGCACUUAUUUUGAAGUUUUUAAAGCAUUGAAAUUGAACAAUGUAGCCAAGAUAUUACUGAAUAGUCACAAAAAGAAGACAACCGUAUUUCUAUCAGCUAGCACAUGUGCUGAAAGAUAAUUUUUCCCUAUCAACUUUUGCAACGAAAACAUCAAAGGGGAAAGCAAGCAAGGUAAGAAUAUCUUGCAAUUCGCACCGGCUUCACUUCGAGACACUCUUCUUCAAAUCCUUAAGGUGCAAGAUGAGCAGCAAGGCUUUUCAAUCCCCAAAUACACAUUUGUAGUCAGUACAAGGCAAGAAGAGGCAUUUUUUCCGUUUUGACUACAUAACUUAGAUGUUUGUUGUUCAUCACCAUCUAACUUCUCGAGAAACACAGCAACCGUCACCAUUUCCAGUUCUAUCUCUUAUUAAUCGGACAAGAAUUCAAGGUUCAAAAGGAACUUAUAGUUGCAGUUAAAGAAAAUGCCUCCUGAAGUUUCAGUUACUUCAAGGGCCAUUCUACUAAAUCAAGUAAAAUACCAAUUACAAAAGAUCCCAAUGGAUAUUCACACGAGUUCUGACAUGCCAGGUAACAUGCAGUCUUUCCUAACCAGCUAACUUGACAAUACAUGACGGGCCAAAUUACUAUCCAUCCCUCAAGCUUAACUAAAUUCAGAGGAGUCUCAUAUUUCAACAACUAUGAUUUUCAGGCAUUUUUCCCCU